AGAACUCUGAAAAUAUAAAAGAUGAAGACCAUUUCAUUGAUUUUCAUGGUUCUGUUGGUUGCCAGUCUGGCACAUGCUUAUGAGGAAAAGGAGACAGCAGAGAAUGAAAAUGAGCAGGAGCAAAGAGAGAGCCCUGAUCUCUUCGAUGGAGCGAAGGAUCGAAUUGAAGACAGAUGGGACCGGUUCCUCAGCUUUGCAAUGGAGAAGAUUGCCAGUGGAUUCACAAAACCUCGAUCUGGAAAAUAGUGAAGUCAUAUUUAACCACAACUAAGAAACUGUAGUCUCCCCUUUCUUAAACCACCAUAUAACACAUUUCUCCUGUACCUUUGUAUAUGAACAUUGAGAACAUUUCCCAAGACAAAGAGACAAAUUCAGAAUAUUGUUAAAAUAUGUUUAUUAUCAUGAUUUUUUAAACUGAACUAGCAAUAAUUUCUCUUAUUUCUCUCCUAUGCCGCUGUGCUGUGUGUUUGUAUACUUAUUGUAUUAGAAACAAAAAAGUUUGAUUUCUUACCUUAAAUUACAGAGUAACACUUUACUCCAUUCUUGUCAUAUUGAAA
rnacentral:lncRNA from 1 species